rnacentral:rRNA from 1 species
GGGCAGCGCGGGGCGGCAACGUCCUGGCGGCGACCGGCGGAAGGGUGCGUAACGCGUGAGCGACAUGCCCGUUGCCCGGGGACAACCGGUGGAAACGCCGACUAAUCCCCGAUGGGACGGAGGCCCUCAUGGGUCUCUGUUGAAAGUUACGGCGGCGACGGAUUGGCUCGCGUCCGAUUAGCUUGUUGGCGGGGUAACGGCCCACCAAGGCUACGAUCGGUAGGGGUUCUGAGAGGAAGGUCCCCCACAAUGGAACUGAGACACGGUCCAUACUCCUACGGGAGGCAGCAGUGAGGAAUAUUGGUCAAUGGGCGGAAGCCUGAACCAGCCAUGCCGCGUGCGGGAAGGAGGCCCUAUGGGCUGUGAACCGCUUUUGCCUGGGGGCAAUAAGGGCGUCGCGCACGUCCGAUGAGAGUACCAGGGGAAUAAGCAUCGGCUAACUCCGUGCCAGCAGCCGCGGUAAUACGGGGGAUGCGAGCGUUAUCCGGAUUCAUUGGGUUUAAAGGGUGCGUAGGCUGUGCGUCAAGUCAGGGGUGAAAUUCCGGGGCUCAACUCCGGGGCUGCCCUUGAUACUGUCGCGCUGGAGUGCGGAUGCCGCCGGAGGAAUGAGUGGUGUAGCGGUGAAAUGCUUAGAUAUCACUCAGAACACCGAUUGCGAAGGCAUCUGGCGAAUCCGUAACUGACGCUGAGGCACGAAAGCGUGGGGAUAGAACAGGAUUAGAUACCCUGGUAUUCCACGCCGUAAACGAUGAUGGCUAACCGCCGGCGACAUACUGUCGGUGGCCAAGCGAAAGCGAUAAGCCAUCCACCUGGGGAGUACGUCGGCAACGAUGCAAC